GCCAAGGCCCAGAAUGUGGCAAGGCAAGGGUUAAAAAGAAAAGAAGAACAAGUUUUCUUUUGCUUAGCAAGCUCACUUUAAGGACAGUUAUAAGAUAACGCUGUUCUGUUUGAGAAGUCGAAUCCAAAGGAAUAGGCUCCAGACACCCCCCUUCCAGAGCAGGGGUGAAGAAAAAAAAAAAAGAGGACAAAUAUCUGUGUUUAGCCAGUUCUUGGUUUUUUCUUUCAACGCAGCUACAAGGCCACCAGCUAUGCAAGGCCACAAG
rnacentral:lncRNA from 1 species